rnacentral:rRNA from 1 species
AGUCGAACGAGAAGGUGUAGCAAUACACUUGUAAAGUGGCGAACGGGUGAGGAAUACAUGGGUGACCUACCCUCGAGUGGGGAAUAACCAGCCGAAAGGUUGGCUAAUACCGCAUACGAUUCCCGGUUUGCGGAUCGGGAAGGAAAGCGAUGCUGUGGGUAUCGCGCUCAAGGAUGGGCUCAUGUCCUAUCAGCUUGUUGGUGAGGUAACGGCUCACCAAGGCUUCGACGGGUAGCUGGUCUGAGAGGACGAUCAGCCACACUGGCACUGCGACACGGGCCAGACUCCUACGGGAGGCAGCAGUAAGGAAUAUUGCGCAAUGGGCGAAAGCCUGACGCAGCGACGCCGCGUGGGGGAUGAAGGUCUUCGGAUUGUAAACCCCUUUCGGGCGGGAAGAUGGAAUGGGUAACCAUUCGGACGGUACCUCCAGAAGCAGCCACGGCUAACUUCGUGCCAGCAGCCGCGGUAAUACGAAGGUGGCAAGCGUUGUUCGGAUUCACUGGGCGUACAGGGAGCGUAGGCGGUUGGGUAAGCCCUCCGUGAAAUCUCCGGGCCCAACCCGGAAAGUGCAGAGGGGACUGCUCGGCUAGAGGACGGGAGAGGAGCGCGGAAUUCCCGGUGUAGCGGUGAAAUGCGUAGAG